AUACGGAGGAUGCGAGCGUUAUCCGGAUUUAUUGGGUUUAAAGGGAGCGUAGGUGGGAUAUUAAGUCAGCUGUGAAAGUUUGCGGCUCAACCGUAAAAUUGCAGUUGAUACUGGCUGUCUUGAGUACAGUAGAGGUGGGCGGAAUUCGUGGGGUAGCGGUGAAAUGCUUAGAUAUCACGAAGAACUCCGAUUGCGAAGGCAGCUCACUGGACUGCAACUGACACUGAUGCUCGAAAGUGUGGGUAUCAAACAGGAUUAGAUACCCUGGUAGUCCACACAGUAAACGAUGAAUACUCGCUGUUUGCGAUAUACAGUAAGCGGCCAAGCGAAAGCAUUAAGUAUUCCACCUGGGGAGUACGCCGGCAACGGUGAAACUUAAAGGAAUUGACGGGG
rnacentral:rRNA from 1 species